GCUGCUGUCCCGGGGGCAGCAGCAAGGGGCCCCGUCCCUCCGGCACAGCCCGCCCGCCCCGCGCUUCUCCUGAACUCAAGGGAGAGCGUGCAUGCAGUCCCCACUACCACAAAUUAUGCAGUCGAGUUUCCACAUGUGGGGAAAUCGCAGCGGUCAGCACUCCCGCAGUGCAAUGGGAGAGCCUCGCCCUGGGAAAAGCACCUGCCUGAUCAUGGUGUCUCCCCUGCCAGGGUCUAGGUUUCUGCAGUAUCUGACAUCUGUCAGGCCCCAGCGAGGACAAGGGAAGCACUCUUAGUUCUCCCAAGUAAAAGGGACGGAAUGUGUGGCGUUGUCUGCAUAGGAGGUG